rnacentral:tRNA from 1 species
GGGGUUGUGGCUCAGAGGUGGAGCACUCGCCUCACAUGUGUGAGGCCUUGGGUUCGGUCCUCAGCACCACA